rnacentral:lncRNA from 1 species
UACAGAAUGAGUGAUGUUGUCUGUGGUUUUAGGAGGGGGGAAAAUUACCUUCCAAGCGCCAAACAAGGUUUGAGGUGACGAGACCUCUCUGUGAUGUGGCUGCUAAAUGAAACCCUUUUGCUUUGGUAGAUUGUGGUUAGAAAUAGUUUAAAGAACAAAUGGCUAGAGCUAGGGGAAGAAAUAUUUCCAAAAACUGCGCACAAUGAGGUGAUGCUUAGAGGGAAAAGAUUCAUAUGAAUAUUGAAUGUUAUCAGAAAUAAUAUUUCAAAAAACUUAAUCCUUCAACUCAUCGGGUUUUUUUUUUUCUAGUUCUCAACAUUCCAUCAUGGAGAAGGAUCCCCACCCUACUUCAAAAGCCUUUUUGAAGGUCAGAAUGCAUUCUGUGAGUGGCAGCUCAUGUCACAUACCUCUGGAAAUCAGUUCUCUAAUACACAACUGUUUUGUAAUUUCAUCUAUUUUCUGCAUGUGGUUUGAUCACUUCCAGGCUGGUAUCCAGGGGGAGACUUGAGAACCAUCUCAGAGACAGAAGUGGACUUUUUAGCAGCUUGCUUAUUCCCAGGCUGAAGUCAAGAGUUCAUGGCACGAAUUAAGGAAGAAUUAAAAUGCUUAUGUAUCAACUAAUGCUGAUGAAAUUCAGUCUGAGGCUUCAAGAGUUAAUAUCCCAUCAUGUUCUUGAUGUUAUCCCAUUGCAUUAAUAUGGUUUGCUCGUUGAGUUCCUGAGGGUGGGGAAUGAGAGGAACUUGUGAGUGGCCUCUGGUUUUACCAGUGUACAAGGGAGGAAGUCUGGAGUGGCUGAAAUUCCCCCUUGCACACAGAUCCAGGUGAGUGGUGAGCAGGCUUCUUUCAAAAGCAGAACCUGUGGCACAUGGGCAUUGACUGAAAGGGAACAAACCAGACAGAGAAACUUCACUUUUCCAAGACAUUAGUAACUAACUGCAAAGCAAGAAAGCAUUUUGCAGAAUGAGAGUAGCCAGGCCCCAUCCCCUACAUCCUGCCCUGUUCAUCUCUGCCACUGCCAGAACCUGAGUAUGAAGGGCAUUUGUUCAGCGCAGCCAAAUGCAAGCAGAACAGUGGGAUAAAGAGGGGUAGAAAAUCAAGUGAGCAGAGCUAACACAAAAUGGAGACAAGGUAUUUCAGCACCUGACUCUUUGAGCAAGAGUCUAUAAAUCUUGUUCUCACUGUUAAAGGCACUCAAGACCGGAGGGAAGUCAUCAUGAGGGACAUGUAAUACUUUAUCCUUUUCCCCACUCACUUUCUCCAUGAAGGAAUUAUGAAGAGAAGAGUUCACAAGAAACAAAUAAGAGGACAAAGUAUCUUUCACUGAAUUUACUCUCGUGCAAAGCCAAUGACGCAAGUCUCCUGGGCAUAAAUUCAGUGUUUUGUAUAAACCUAAGGCUGUGUAUUUGAUACUUCAUACUGUUUUUUUCCAACCUGCUAAGUAUUGCCACGUAAUUUCCACACAGGACUAUUAUUAACACAAGUCUGUGCCACUGCUGUGGCCUCACAGA